UACAGAGGUCCCAAGCGUUGUUCGGAUUCACUGGGCGUAAAGGGUGCGUAGGCGGUCGGGUAAGUCUGACGUGAAAUCUUCAAGCUUAACUUUGAAACUGCGUCGGAUACUAUUCGGCUGGAGGAAUGGAGGGGAGACUGGAAUACUUGGUGUAGCAGUGAAAUGCGUAGAUAUCAAGUGGAACACCAGUGGCGAAGGCGAGUCUCUGGACAUUUCCUGACGCUGAGGCACGAAAGCCAGGGGAGCAAACGGG
rnacentral:rRNA from 1 species